UACGUAGGGGGCAAGCGUUGUCCGGAAUCAUUGGGCGUAAAGCGCGCGUAGGCGGCCCUGUAAGUCCGUUGUGAAAGUCCAAGGCUCAACCUUUGAAAGCCGAUGGAUACUGCAGGGCUCGAGUUCGGAAGAGGCGAGUGGAAUUCCUGGUGUAGCGGUGGAAUGCGCAGAUAUCAGGAGGAACACCAAUAGCGAAGGCAGCUCGCUGGGACGAUACUGACGCUAAGGCGCGAAAGCGUGGGGAGCGAACAGG
rnacentral:rRNA from 1 species